rnacentral:rRNA from 1 species
UACAGAGGGUGCAAGCGUUAAUCGGAAUUACUGGGCGUAAAGGGCGCGUAGGCGGCCUUGUAAGUCCCGUGUGAAAUCCCUCGGCUCAACUGAGGAACUGCACGGGAAACUGCUUGGCUUGAGUUCGGGAGAGGGAAGCGGAAUUCCGGGUGUAGCGGUGAAAUGCGUAGAUAUCCGGAGGAACACCGGUGGCGAAGGCGGCUUCCUGGACCGACACUGACGCUGAGGCGCGAAAGCUAGGGGAGCAAACGGG